UAUGUAAGAGCCGCGGCUUCCGGUUCCUUGCUCCACCGACUCAUCUACUCACCUGAGGAUUAUGAGGAUUAUGAGUUUUAUGGAGCAAAAUUUGCCUAGAACAGGUUGUCAGCUUCUGUGGACACAGUCUUCUACCCUCAGAAAUCCCAUUGGAAGAAAGAACAAAUGAAGCAUCCCAAGGACUGGAGGAUUCUCUUCCCCCAGGGUAUUCAAGGAAGACACUGGGGA
rnacentral:lncRNA from 1 species